AAGACUAUACUUUCAGGGAUCAUUUCUAUAGUUUGUUUUGUGUAACAAUUACCACAGUAAGUUUAGUUAACAUCUAUCACCACACAUAAUUAGA
rnacentral:snoRNA from 2 species